GCAUCGAUGAAGAACGCAGCGAAAUGUGAUACGUAAUAUGAAUUGCAGAUAUUCGUGAAUCAUCGAAUCUUUGAACGCACAUUGCGCCCUCUGGUAUUCCGGAGGGCAUGCCUGUUUGAGCGU
rnacentral:rRNA from 1 species